rnacentral:rRNA from 1 species
AGCACGAAACUUGCCCCGAGAUGAGUUCUCCCUGAGACUUUAAGUCUCCUGAAGGAACGUUGAAGACGACGACGUUGAUAGGCCGGGUGUGUAAGCGCAGCGAUGCGUUGAGCUAACCGGUACUAAUGAACCGUGAGGCUUAACCUUACAACGCCGAAG